AGGAUCUCUGCGAGCCCACGGAACCCUUCUUCUCCAUCAGCAGCACUUCCACGAUCAUUUGCUGCUGAGAUUUGCUCGUCGGAUUACUAACUUGGGUCUGUUUGGCAUGCGAUCUACAACCAAAACAGUGUCAAGUGCAUGCGAUCCGACGAUAGAGUGACACACCCCAAUUUUGUGGCGAAGAUUUCCUCCCCUAUCUCUCUCUCUCUCUCUCCGUCCCCUUGUAGGUGCAGUUGCAGGUUUUCUCAUACUACUUACUACAGCUAUGGAGUGAUUGAUUCCCCAUGCCUUUGUUUUUGUUUUUUGUUUUUUGUCAUGGAAUGUGUCAAUCAUGACAUGUUUCUGUGUUGGGUGUGCUUUACGGCUCCGCAGAUGGGAAGCUGUUUGCCGAUGCUCUCUUCUUCUGGAAAUUUGCGAAACGUUGAAGUGGAUAAUUGACUUAGCGGAUCUUGUAUACGCAUUUACUGAAUUAGUCCCGUUCUUGUUCUCUACUCGUGGGUACCGGAGAUGUGCGAUUUUGUUUGAAUUGGAUUCGGUGUUCGAUUGCUGGGGUCUGAUUUCUUAAGGAAAUAUUCUAGCCUUCUUACAACUGUAUUUUAGUGUCAAUUUUGCUUGGACUUUUGUACGAGGACGUUGGGGAUAGAGGUAUGGGUUUAGGCUUUCAAGUUGUGAGUUUAGUGGUUGUGAGUUUUGUGGUAUCGGCCUCUUGUAGGAUAUUAGAAAUUUGAUCGCAGUAGUGCUUGCUUUGGCGUCGGUCCCCUACAUGUUUUCUUUGUGAAUUUUGUUGUUCUGGUGUUGAGGGGGAAUUUAGGAUAUAAGUUUCACCCGACAAUGUUCUAACAUGUAUGUAUUAUAUAAAACAUCAGUUGAAUGGGAAGGAGCUCUCACUAGAUUUUCUUAGGCAUUACUGGGUCGCAAUUGCGCUAAAAUGACGAUCUAAGCGGCCCAUUGGGUUGAGAGAAUUGGCUUGCGAUGGAUAGUGACCGAAGCCAGACACCUCUGCCUGUAUCGCUACUUCUGCCUCCACCUCCUAUGAGCAUGCUCUCUACAUCAUCGUUACAACAUCCAGAGUUGGAAAAGAAUCUAACAGUUAGAAAUGUUGAGGAGAAACGAGAGGAAUGGUCGGCUCGCGCGGUGGCCCUAUUCCUCGACCUUUACGAAGAAAAGUACUUCGAAAUGGACAGGGGGGGUUUCCGAUCGAAGGACUGGGAGCAGCUGGUGGAGCGGUUUAACAUGGAAGGGGGAUGUGGGAAGACGAUGAAGCAGUGCCGGGACAAAAUGGACUCCUUGAAGAAGCGUCAUAAGCUGGAGAGGGGCAGGAAGGCAAGCACAGGAGCGGAGACGUGCAGCUGGGUGUGGUUUGAUAAGAUGGAUGGUAUGUUUGGUGACCAUUCCAAGCACCAAGGAAUAUUGCUUGGUCCUCCUGAAGCAAGUGACGUGAAAUUUUCCGCAGAUAAGUUUCGAAUCGCGGGCGGGGAAAAUGUGAUUAUGGAAGAACAGAGUCGGAGGAUUGUUGGAAGCUGGAGAGAGGCGAAGAAAGUUUUACAAGAGCUGCCUUUGUCUGCUGAAGAGCGGGGCAAGGCUCGGACUCUGCUGCUAGAGAAGAAAGAGGAGGAGAGAUUAGAAUAUUUUGUUGGCGAUUUUGAGGAGGUUAGCUUUUGCUUGAAGCUGCUUGUGGAGAGAGCUUCCAUCCAAUCUUCAGGAGACGCGGGAGUUAUUCAAAUGGAUUUUGCAGUGGCCUCUGACAUCCAGCGCAGGCUGGAGGAAGUGUUAACAGAUGUCAUUUCGCUCAAAAGGCGAGCGAUAUCAGAUCUGCGGUAUUUUAUGCCUGCAGCAAAGAAUAGUAAGAGUUGAAGCAAAGCUUCAUGUAGGACACAUUUUUAGAGUUUCUUCCAAAAUUACUGCCUUGCGAUUCGCUUUCACAACCUUCUAGUGAAACCUGGUAGUCAGCUAUGGAUUGAAGGCCUUCAGGAGGUCCCGCCGCCAUUGGAGCAGUGAGGUUUGAAAGAGCAAAUGAAGUCAGGCAUUUGCACCUCACUUUUAUUGGUGCUACUGAAGCUGAAUAUGCGUUGGCACUACUUGUACACAAGCUUUUAGCGAGGUGGUGAGUUUUGGACAUUUUGCAGGGAUUCUAUGCUGAAUAUGGUGUUCAAGAUAACGAAUUUUUCCACAUCUUAAUGGUAGGUAUGAUGGAUGGUAUGUUAUGGACUAGCCCCAAAUUCGUGACAUUAGAUGGGGGGCAAAUCGAGAUUACUAUUUGAUCGUUAAGGUUGAACUCCCAAAGAGAAUGAAAAUUUAUUAAAUGCUUAAACUAGUUCCAAUCAGCUACAUUGUUUUAGUAAUCAUGCAAUUUAUAUUUCUUCGAUUUUAAAAUCAAGAAAUAGUGCACAAAUAACAAACUAGGACUUUGCCUUUACACGACUUGAUCACUGA